AAUGGCUGCUUCAAUUUCAGCUUGAACCUCCAAACCGCAAGUUAGCACCUCAUACCACAGUGCAUCAAAGCAGUCUCAUGAGCGCUGGGAAGGACGAGCCCAGAGCCCAAAACAGACAGUGCAGGAGAUGACAAGCUGUCCUGUGCCAGAAGUUCUGUUGACCCACAGUGAGAGGCAUCAUUUCAGAAACACCAGGAAGACUGAAACUCGU